CUUUCAACACAAGCCCAAGGUAAGACAACUUCCUCAGGGUGACAGAAGCUCAGACCUCCGAGCUCGAGCCCUGAUGGGGGCACCAAACCCGAAUGGCCCCAGACGACUCUGCGGCCAAGAACGAAAAAGAUGGGUCGAUACGAUAGCAACUGGGUACCUCCGAACGACAAUGACAAAGGAAAGAAGUUUGACAGACAACAAUUCAACGCAAAGUGCAGACGAGGUAAUAAAAUCUCCUUCUCAUUUUUCAAUCAACAAGAUGUACGUUACAAGACUAGGAGGGCCAGAAAAGAAUACACUAUUACAAGGCUUGGAUACACGACUUGGAAGAAAUACACCGGAGACCACUUCAGGCUGUAAACUUCUCUUCCCGGUUCUGUCCAACCGCAUUUUUCAGUGCGUGUGAUAAACAUGCU
rnacentral:lncRNA from 1 species